rnacentral:rRNA from 1 species
CCUACGGGAGGCAGCAGUAGGGAAUCUUCCGCAAUGGACGAAAGUCUGACGGAGCAACGCCGCGUGAGUGAUGAAGGUUUUCGGAUCGUAAAACUCUGUUGUUAGGGAAGAACAAGUAUCGGAGUAACUGCCGGUACCUUGACGGUACCUAACCAGAAAGCCACGGCUAACUACGUGCCAGCAGCCGCGGUAAUA